rnacentral:tRNA from 1 species
AAAAAGGGAGUAUAGUGGCUAUGCAGUUAGUUUGAAGCUAAAUAAAGGAGGUUCGAUUCCUUCACUUUUUA